CCCCAUCCCUGGCAUCUCUAGAGAUUGAGGAGUGCUCGAAAGAGAACCAGUACACAGGUGCUGCAUGGCUGUCGUCAGCUCGUGUCGUGAGAUGUUGGGUUAAGUCCCGCAACGAGCGCAACCCUUGUCAUUAGUUGCUACGAAAGGGCACUCUAAUGAGACUGCCGGUGACAAACCGGAGGAAGGUGGGGAUGACGUCAAGUCCUCAUGGCCCUUAUGGGUAGGGCUUCACACGUCAUACAAUGGUACAUACAGAGCGCCGCCAACCCGCGAGGGGGAGCUAAUCGCAGAAAGUGUAUCGUAGUCCGGAUUGUAGUCUGCAACUCGACUGCAUGAAGUUGGAAUCGCUAGUAAUCGCGGAUCAGCAUGUCGCGGUGAAUACGUUCCCGGGUCUUGUACACACCGAC
rnacentral:rRNA from 1 species